rnacentral:rRNA from 1 species
GACGAACGCUGGCGGCGUGCUUAACACAUGCCAGUCGAACGGAAAGGCCCUGCUUUUGUGGGGUGCUCGAGUGGCGAACGGGUGAGUAACACGUGAGAAACCUGCCCUUGACUUUGGGAUAACUUCAGGAAACUGGGGCUAAUACCGGAUAGGAGCUCCUGCUGCAUGGUGGGGGUUGGAAAGUUUCGGCGGUUGGGGAUGGACUCGCGGCUUAUCAGCUUGUUGGUGGGGUAGUGGCUUACCAAGGCUUUGACGGGUAGCCGGCCUGAGAGGGUGACCGGCCACAUUGGGACUGAGAUACGGCCCAGACUCCUACGGGAGGCAGCAGUGGGGAAUAUUGCACAAUGGGCGGAAGCCUGAUGCAGCAACGCCGCGUGCGGGAUGACGGCCUUCGGGUUGUAAACCGCUUUCGCCUGUGACGAAGCGUGAGUGACGGUAAUGGGUAAAGAAGCACCGGCUAACUACGUG